AUGAUGGAGCGAAGGUCUGGUGUGAAGCGAUGCUAAACCUUCCAGGACAAAGUCCUGCACCGAUGCAAUCAGAGUCACAAGUUUUAACAGUUUUCUACCCACCAACCUUCGCUCAUCCUGAAAAUGAGACCCGCGAAGUUUCUGUUGGUGCAGAAAUCUCUUUGAACUGCUCGGCCACAGGAAACCCUGCUCCAGCUUACCGCUGGCACUUUGCAGACCCUACGCUAGAGGGGCCCCAGAAGCAAGAUGAGAUUGGGCCGAUUUUAACUUCAGAUUUUAAGGUUACAGGAGUCUACAGCUGCAGAGCCUCUAACAGCGUGGCUGAAAGAACCAAAUAUUUCACUAUCAACAAAACUCCAGAGGACCAGACCACCUUCGGAGUCAUAUUAGGAGUGUUUCUUGGCCUGGGAGCUUUAGUCUUCAUCCUCGGCAUCAUUUAUAUGACAUCAACAGGAACAUUUAGUUUCCAGAAAGGCAGCUAUCAACCAACCUCAUCAGGUCCUAUAUGAACCUCACUUUUCCUUAAUUUAAUGUUGGACGGCUUGGCUAUAAAACUUGCUUGGUGAAAAAUCAGUCCACUUGAGGACUGAUCUGGGGUGCAUGUUCAGGUUGUGUUUGUUUGUACAUGUUUGGGGACACUGUAGCUUUAAAAAUGUUAAAUCUUUGAGCUUUCCAAAAUAUUGCCACUGUAUAAACAGACACUUCCUUUACCGACUGCAAAAAGGGGUAAGAUGUGUUCAAUAAUCAGCUUUACUUUGGUGAUGUGACUCACUUGCUCUUGGACUCACUUGCCUUCCUGGCCUUUUUUGGGAUUAUCUUUUCCUUUCAUGUGACCGGUCUGUCUGUUUGUUUUUUAAGUUGUUCUAACUGGUGGUGGGAACUUUGCUUUUUGUGCUGCACAACUAUCUAAGAUGGCUGACGACUGGUUACUCAACUGCAUGUUAACAGGGAGCAAUAAUGUGAUCUAAAAGAACGUAAAGCAUGGAAGCGUCUGAGAUCAGCCAUACCACUGGAUUUAGGGCAGUCCUGCCAUUGGCUUAUGUAACUCUUCAGUUUUCAUGUCGGAUCAAUUACAACAUCCUGUUUGUCUUUUUUGCUUGGUUUUUCUGAUAAUCUCUCUCUAACAGCCACCACAAAAGCGACGGUCACGUAGAAUUGGACCUGAUUGUGGAUGUUAAGCUAGCAGCAGGUAGUAUCUGUGUUGACCUUUCAUCCAGGCUAUUCAAACAACCACUAAAGCUCUUUUCCAAGUUGUCCAUUAUGGUGCUGUAUUUUUAAAAAAAAUGUUUUUUCUUUUUUUUUUUUUUUUAAGAUUUCUGUUUUCCAAAGUUGAGCUUUUGAACUAUGCACUAAUUGUUUAAUUGUUUAAACUGUAGAUUUAGCAAAGACCUAUGACUUGUUACAUCUAUCCCUUUUCAUUUUGCAUCAGUGAAUCAACUUUAAACAAUAUUUGCACAAAGUAAAAUUUUGAUCUGUUUUAUUUAGAAUUAUUGCUCUAUUUUUGGAGAUAGAAGGCUUCCUUACAGAUGAAAUAAUUAUUUUAGUUUUUUUUUUUUUUUGCUUUAUUUUUGGAAUAAUGAUGUUACUCAGUGAGCAACUCCGUUUACUGCUAAUGUUAUGAAAUAGUGUAUAAAUUGUAAUCUUCUACAAAUGUUUUGUCUUUUAUUUUGUUUAAAGUGUUGUGCCUUAGAAACACUGAGUACGCCUUCCAUAACAUGCCAUUGCUGUGAUGCCUUAUGGUAUACAUACUAACAUGUUUUAAUUAUGAAACAGGUUGUUGCUAAUCAGAUCAUUUUAAAACAUAAAGCUGAUGUAAAAUCUGCAUUUAUUGUUGUGAAAUUUAAAAUAAUAAUAAAAAAACAGGUUUGUUUUAACAGUGCUCAUGUACAUUUACUGUGAGUUAAAAGGUUAACGUAUUGUUGAGGCAUCUUUAAGUGUUGUAAAUCCCCUCAUGUCGAGUAUGAUUUGGGGAUUGUGUUACUUUUACUUUGCCUGUCCCUUUGGCUCUUUAAGACAGCCUUACAUUGUACAGCACUGAGUCGUCUGCUCACUAACUAGAUCCUGACAACAAAGGGAAUGUAAAGAGAAAUGGGUGUAAUCCUGUGUUCAGCUGAUAAAAUAAAGCUUUUUUUAAUUGUAA